rnacentral:rRNA from 1 species
GACAUAGGUGGCGAACGUUUAUCCGGAUUUAUUGGGCGUAAAGGAUGCGUAGGUGGCAGGAUAAAUUAUCAGUGAAAGUCAGGCUCAACUUGACGGAAGUUGGUAAAAUUUGUUCUGCUAGAGGAUAGGAGAGGUUGGCGGAAUUCACAUGAGUAAGGGUGAAAUCUGUUGAUCCAUGGAGGACCACCAAAAAAAGGCGAAGGCAGCUAACUAUUCUAUUCCUGACACUGAGGCAUGAAAGCGUGGGUAGCAAACCGGG